rnacentral:lncRNA from 1 species
AUAUCUUUUGAAAAGGCUGGGCUCGGAACUGUCCAUCCUAGACAAAUGAAGCAAGCAAAGGCUGAGAACCAUAUCGGAGACGCUGUCGUUCCAAGAUAACAGUCCGUGCUAGUGACAAGCUACAGGUGCCAAUCUAUUUUUGCUGUUCUUCCUCAUGUGACUGGCUCUGUUUGUCACCAGCCCCUAGGAGGAAAAAUGGGAGGGGAAUUUAGCCACCCUUUCCAACUUUCCUGUUCGAUUUCUCUUGUACAUAGACACUUGUUUUCCAGAAAGCAGGAAUUCUUCUUUGCUCACCCACAAAACACAACUACCCAACAGCUGCCACACUAUCCUUCCGCUGGCACAACUAUAGAUGUAAGGAUAUCAUACAAGCGUGGCGGCAGCAGGAGGGGAAGCAGGCAGCCAUGCUACUAAUAGGUAAUUGCUGUGACCUUCUCCCGCACCUUCUGCUUGUGCUUUCUACAAAGAUGAUAUCUUUCCCAAGUUGUAUUGCUCUUCCCCCCUACCCAAACAACAACAAUGGGAGUGCUUUCUUUCACAUAGGGUAAGCUUCCUCCUCAACAUGGAACUAAACUCCCUGUUGGUGUAGGGAAGGUGUUCUGCUCCACCUACUGCCACUUCUGAUCAAACCCUAAAGAACCCUUUUGCUUUGCAGGAUCACAGCCUGGAGACAAGGAGCACAUAUAGUAUAGUGUUUCCCAUGCACAUAGAGUUCCACUCUGGACACAAUGGAUCUCUGCUCCUUGGGAGAAAGCUCAGAUAUGUACUGCAGCAGAGU